AACGCACCUUGCGCUCCUUGGUAUUCCGAGGAGCAUGCCUGUUUGAGUGUCAUUAAUUUCUCAACCUCACCAGCUUUUGUUGUGUGAAGGCUUGGAUGUGGGGGGUUGCAGGUCCGCAUUUAUGUGGUCUGCUCCUCUAAAACGUAUUAGUGGGUUAGUCCCCUAAUCUAUUGGUGUGAUAAUUAUCUACGCCGUGGAUUUGGAUGGCUAUUAUAGACCCGCUUCUAACCGUCCCUCGGGACAAUUUUGACAAUUUUGACCUCAAAUCAGGUAAGACUACCCGCUGAACUUAA
rnacentral:misc_RNA from 1 species